rnacentral:rRNA from 1 species
CCUACGGGAGGCUGCAGUGAGGAAUAUUGGUCAAUGGGCGGAAGCCUGAACCAGCCAAGUCGCGUGAGGGAUUAAGGCCCUGCGGGUCGUAAACCUCUUUUGCCGGGGAGCAGUGGUCCGGACGCGUCCGGACCGGGAGAGUACCCGGAGAAAAAGCAUCGGCUAACUCCGUGCCAGCAGCCGCGGUAAUACGGAGGAUGCGAGCGUUAUCCGGUUUUAUGGGGUUUAAAGGGUGCGCAGGCGGUCUGUUAAGUCAGCGGUCAAAGCCCGGGGCUCAACCCCGGCCCGCCGUUGAAACUGGCAGUCUCGAGUUGGAGAGAAGUAUGCGGAAUGCGCGGUGUAGCGGUGAAAUGCAUAGAUAUCGCGCAGAACUCCGAUUGCGAAGGCAGCAUGCCGGCUCCACACUGACGCUGAGGCACGAAAGCGUGGGUAUCGAACAGGAUUAGAUACCCCAGUAGUC